rnacentral:rRNA from 1 species
UACGUAGGGGGCUAGCGUUGUCCGGAAUCAUUGGGCGUAAAGAGCGCGUAGGCGGCCAGAUAAGUCCGGUGUGAAAGUCAAAGGCUCAACCUUUGAAUGCCGCUGGAAACUGUCUGGCUAGAGUCCGGGAGGGGCGAGUGGAAUUCCUGGUGUAGCGGUGAAAUGCGCAGAUAUCAGGAGGAACACCGGUGGCGAAGGCGGCAUCCUGGACCAAUAUUGACGCUGAGGCGCGAAAGCCAGGGGAGCAAACGGG